CUUAGUGCUGCAGCUAACGCAUUAAGCACUCCGCCUGGGGAGUACGGUCGCAAGACUGAAACUCAAAGGAAUUGACGGGGGCCCGCACAAGCGGUGGAGCAUGUGGUUUAAUUCGAAGCAACGCGAAGAACCUUACCAGGUCUUGACAUCCCGCUGACCGCUCUAGAGAUAGAGUUUUCCCUUCGGGGACAGCGGUGACAGGUGGUGCAUGGUUGUCGUCAGCUCGUGUCGUGAGAUGUUGGGUUAAGUCCCGCAACGAGCGCAACCCUUGAUCUUAGUUGCCAGCAUUUAGUUGGGCACUCUAAGGUGACUGCCGGUGAUAAACCGGAGGAAGGUGGGGAUGACGUCAAAUCAUCAUGCCCCUUAUGACCUGGGCUACACACGUGCUACAAUGGACGGUACAGAGGGUCGCAACCCCGCGAGGGUGAGCUAAUCCCAUAAAACCGUUCUCAGUUCGGAUUGUAGGCUGCAACUCGCCUACAUGAAGCCGGAAUCGCUAGUAAUCGUGGAUCAGCAUGCCACGGUGAAUACGUUCCCGGG
rnacentral:rRNA from 1 species